rnacentral:lncRNA from 1 species
GAUUGAUUUUUGUUUGAAGACAAAUAUUUAGACAAGUUGAUAUACAACAUUGUCUAAACAUUCGGGGAAAGAGAGUCUACACCCUACUCCUUUUUUUUCUUUUUAUUAUGAAAAUUUUCUUUGAUUUGAAUUGCACUAAAGUCUAUGAAUGAAGGUGAAUACUUUGAACAACUGGCUUAAGUGUCCCGUAUCCAAAUAUAUUCAGAAUGAGGAUAGGAAUAC